rnacentral:rRNA from 1 species
AUUGAACGCUGGCGGCAUGCUUUACACAUGCAAGUCGAACGGUAACAGGCCGCAAGGUGCUGACGAGUGGCGAACGGGUGAGUAAUGCAUCGGAACGUGCACAGUCGUGGGGGAUAACUAUUCGAAAGAGUAGCUAAUACCGCAUACGAUCUAUGGAUGAAAGCGGGGGACCGUAAGGCCUCGCGCGAUUGGAGCGGCCGAUGUCAGAUUAGGUAGUUGGUGGGGUAAAGGCUCACCAAGCCAACGAUCUGUAGCUGGUCUGAGAGGACGACCAGCCACACUGGGACUGAGACACGGCCCAGACUCCUACGGGAGGCAGCAGUGGGGAAUUUUGGACAAUGGGCGCAAGCCUGAUCCAGCAAUGCCGCGUGCAGGAAGAAGGCCUUCGGGUUGUAAACUGCUUUUGUACGGAACGAAACGGCUCUGGUUAAUACCCGGGGCUAAUGACGGUACCGUAAGAAUAAGCACCGGCUAACUACGUG